GGUAUAGCUCAGUUGGUUAGAGCGCUAGAUUGUGGCUCUAGAGGCCCUCGGUUCGAAUCCGAGUAU
rnacentral:tRNA from 1 species